rnacentral:rRNA from 1 species
AAAUGAAUUGACGGGGACCCGCACAAGCAGCGGAGCAUGUGGUUUAAUUCGAAGCAACGCGAAGAACCUUACCAGGGCUUGACAUCCCUCUGACCGGCGGGUAAAACCGCCCUCCCUUCGGGGCAGAGGAGACAGGUGGUGCAUGGUUGUCGUCAGCUCGUGUCGUGAGAUGUUGGGUUAAGUCCCGCAACGAGCGCAACCCUUGUCAUUAGUUGCCAGCAGUUAGGCUGGGCACUCUAAUGAGACUGCCGGGAACAACUCGGAGGAAGGUGGGGAUGACGUCAAAUCAUCAUGCCCCUUAUGUUCUGGGCUACACACGUGCUACAAUGGCCGGUACAAAGAGAAGCAAAGUUGUGAAGCGGAGCAAAUCUGUUAAAACCGGUCUCAGUUCGGAUUGCAGGCUGAAACCCGCCUGCAUGAAGUUGGAGUUGCUAGUAAUCGUGAAUCAGAAUGUCACGGUGAAUGCGUUCCCGGGUCUUGUACACACCGCCCGU